rnacentral:rRNA from 1 species
AGGAUGAACGCUGGCGGCGUGCUUAACACAUGCAAGUCGAACGAUGAAAGCCGGAGCUUGCUCUGGCUGGAUUAGUGGCGAACGGGUGAGUAACACGUGAGUAACCUGCCCCAGACUCUGGGAUAAGCACUGGAAACGGUGUCUAAUACCGGAUACGAGCUUCAGCCGCAUGGCUAGGAGCUGGAAAGAAUUUCGGUCUGGGAUGGACUCGCGGCCUAUCAGGUAGUUGGUGAGGUAACGGCUCACCAAGCCGACGACGGGUAGCCGGCCUGAGAGGGUGACCGGCCACACUGGGACUGAGACACGGCCCAGACUCCUACGGGAGGCAGCAGUGGGAAUAUUGCACAAUGGGCGCAAGCCUGAUGCAGCAACGCCGCGUGAGGACGACGGCCUUCGGUUGUAAACCGUCGUUUUAGUAGGGAAGAAGCGAAAGUGACGGUACCUGCAAGAAAAGCACCGGCUAACGUACGUGACCAGCAGCCGAC